UCUUUUAGGUGUCUACCAACUCUCAUGGCUAUAGUAGCCAUGAGAGUUGGUAGACACCUAAAAGAAAGACAUCAUGAAUUCAAGUAGAUGAAAUUAGUUUUCUUGGCAAGUGCAUAGACUCAUCCUUAGUGACUGGAUGACACUGGGCACCUUUAUAGGAUCUGAAGGCCAUAUUCAUAAGAGGAAAAUGGGAAGCAGGGCUGAUGGGUGUAUUGUUUUGGUCUGGAAAGGCGAAGCAGGAGCUGAAGUGGAAGGCGAUGAUUCAGCUUUACAGAUCAGUGACGUUAGAACCAUCACCGAUGGUCGUAAAAAAUUAGAUCAUGGAUGAAAGUUGACAGUCGACACCCAGUCAAGGUUAGGAGCUCAGACCUCCCAUUGAAGGCAAUGGGUUCGGGUGGUUUGGGGAUUUGAUGAGGAUCUAUCCUGGACAGCUUUUUCUAGGGGUUUUCCAAGCAUUUCUACUUAGAAUACAGAGCUGUCAAUGCCUCCAGUACACCCAGUGGAAUUACUGGAGAGAAAUUGCUACAUGUACAGGAUAAUGUUUCCACUUCUGAAAAAUGUAGUUAAAGAGAAUUGAGACUUCCUGUAUUAAUUAAUUAGUCACUAAAUCCCAAUUGGACAUUGUUACAGCACAGCUAACCAGCUAAAGCCAGCUAGUUCAGAUGCUGACUGAAGUAUGUACUUAGAUUACUAUAUUUUUACACAAAAGUAUUAUGAAGAUUCAGUUCUGUUCUGUGAGCAGUCUCUCCCAUCCUAGCAUUAUCAGCCAGCUCACUGCCUAAUGCCACCACAGACAUUGAGUGUUGAUUUUCUUAUUUUUUUUCUCCAAAAGGCCAUGCAACCAUUUUUGUAGUCAUUUAUGAAUACACAAAACAGUUAUGAAUUAAACAAAACCAUUUCACAGUCUUUAUUGUAUGUGCACCUUGUUUUGGGGGUAACAAAGACCCAUAGAAUUGUGUUGCUAAAUAUAUACACACACAUCAAUAUACAGAGCUUUUGAUACCUUACUAAGUAUUAAAGCAAUCUUAACAUAAGAAUUGAUAAAAUUAGAUAAAUCUACAAAUCUGGAGGAGGGGAUGUUAGCUGUGUAUGAGUUGUUGAAUGCGAGUGUAAAGCUGUAUAUAGGAGCACUUUAGAAGUCUCACCACAGAUGGGCUAAGCACCAAAACUCAACACACAUUCAGUGCUUUACUUUACCCCAAAGUGUCUGCUGAUGCUCUUUGAUUUGAUGAUUUUAACCUGCUUUGAUUUUGCUACUGUGUUGAUUGAAGACUGGAGGAUCUCUUAUUGCUCUGUUUUCACACACACGCACGCACACACACACACACACACACAGACAGACAGACAUAUACACACAUAUAUAUAUAUAUAUAUAUAUAUAUAUAUAUAUAUAUAUAUGUAUAUAUAUAUAUAUAUAUGUAUAUAUAUGUAUAUAUAUGUAUAUAUAUGUAUAUAUAUGUAUAUAUAUGUAUAUAUGUAUAUAUAUGUAUAUAUAUAUAUAUAUAUAUAUAUAUAUAUAUAUAUAUAUAUAUAUAUAUAUAUAUAUAUAUAUAUAUAUAUAUACUGUGCUCUGCUCUGCUGUUUCCCUUUUUUUCCCAGGAGUCUGCCUUUCAGUUUGUGUGUCUUUUGUUUGUCUCUUUUUUGUUUACAUCAUAUAGAAGAUACACAGUAAAGAGCCUGAGAACAUGACACGGAUCUUGAUUUUGAUGCUGUUGUAGGUGGUGAUGAAUCGGCGAAUAGCACAUGUAUGAAGCAAUAAGUAGGACUGUGGAGCUCCAUGACACAAAAGAAGUUUAAAUUAUGUAUAAACUGUAAAAAAAAAUAAAUAAAUAAGAUAGCAUAAUUUAUGUACACACUGAAAAGAAGAAGAGUGAAUAUUAUAACUAUAAAAGGUUAUUAUUAAUAUUAUUAGAGUCAAUAUGCAAAAAGUUCAUACCCCAUCUGUUUUAUAUCGUGAAAUAAAUGUUG
ensembl:lncRNA